GCCAGACUCCUACGGGAGGCAGCAGUGGGGAAUAUUGGGCAAUGGGCGCAAGCCUGACCCAGCAACGCCGCGUGAAGGAAGAAGGCUUUCGGGUUGUAAACUUCUUUUAAGAGGGAAGAGCAAAAGACGGUACCUCUUGAAUAAGCCACGGCUAACUACGUGCCAGCAGCCGCGGUAAUACGUAGGUGGCAAGCGUUGUCCGGAUUUACUGGGUGUAAAGGGCGUGUAGCCGGGCUUACAAGUCAGAUGUGAAAUCCGGGGGCUCAACCCCUGAACUGCAUUUGAAACUGUAGGUCUUGAGUAUCGGAGAGGCAGGCGGAAUUCCUAGUGUAGCGGUGAAAUGCGUAGAUAUUAGGAGGAACACCAGUGGCGAAGGCGGUCUGCUGGACAGCAACUGACGCUGAGGCGCGAAAGCGUGGGGAGCAAACAGGAUUAGAUACCCUAGUAAAA
rnacentral:rRNA from 1 species